rnacentral:rRNA from 1 species
ACAUGCAAGUCGAACGAAGCGAUUUAGCGGAAGUUUUCGGAUAGAGAAGCUAGAUUGACUGGGAGGCGGACGGGUGAGUAACGCGAGGGUAACCUGCCUCACACUGGGGGACAACAGUUAGAAAUGACUGCUAAUACCGCAUAAGCGCACAGGACCGCAUGGUCCGGUGUGAAAAACUCCGGUGGUGUGAGAUGGACCCGCGUUUGAUUAGCUAGUUGGUGGGGUAACGGCCUACCAAGGCGACGAUCAAUAGCCGACCUGAGAGGGUGACCGGCCACAUUGGGACUGAGACACGGCCCAAACUCCUACGGGAGGCAGCAGAGGGGAAUAUUGCACAAUGGGGGAAACCCUGAUGCAGCGACGCCGCGUGAGUGAAGAAGUAUUUCGGUAUGUAAAGCUCUAUCAGCAGGGAAGAAAAUGACGGUACCUGACUAAGAAGCCCCGGCUAACUACGUGCCAGCAGCCGCGGUAAUACGUAGGGGGCAAGCGUUAUCCGGAUUUACUGGGUGUAAAGGGAGCGUAGACGGUAAAGCAAGUCUGAAGUGAAAGCCCGGGGCUCAACCCCGGGACUGCUUUGGAAACUGUUUAACUAGAGUGCUGGAGAGGUAAGCGGAAUUCCUAGUGUAGCGGUGAAAUGCGUAGAUAUUAGGAGGAACACCAGUGGCGAAGGCGGCUUACUGGACAGUAACUGACGUUGAGGCUCGAAAGCGUGAGGAGCAAACAAGAUUAGAUACCCUGGUAGUCCACGCCGUAAACGAUGAAUACUAGGUGUUGGGGGACAAAAGUCCCUUCAGCGCCAUCGCAAACGCAAUAAGUAUUCCACCGGGGGAGUACGUUCGCAAGAAUGAAACUCAAAGGAAUUGGCGGGGACCCGCACAAGCGGGGGAGCAUGUGGUUUAAUUCGAAGCAACGCGAAGAACCUUACCAAAUCUUGACAUCCCUCUGACCGGCGAGUAAUGUCGCCUUUCCUUCGGGACAGAGGAGACAGGUGGUGCAUGGUUGUCGUCAGCUCGUGUCGUGAGAUGUUGGGUUAAGUCCCGCAACGAGCGCAACCCUUAUCCUAAGUAGCCAGCAGUUCGGCUGGGCACUCUUGGGAGACUGCCAGGGAUAACCUGGAGGAAGGUGGGGAUGACGUCAAAUCAUCAUGCCCCUUAUGAUUUGGGCUACACACGUGCUACAAUGGCGUAAACAAAGAGAGGCGAGACCGCGAGGUGGAGCAAAUCUCAAAAAUAACGUCUCAGUUCGGACUGCAGGCUGCAACUCGCCUGCACGAAGCUGGAAUCGCUAGUAAUCGCGAAUCAGAAUGUCGCGGUGAAUACGUUCCCGGGUCUUGUACACACCGCCCGUCACACCAUGGGAGUCAGUAAUGCCCGAAGUCAGUGACCCAACCGAAAGGAGGGAGCUGCCGAAGGCAGGACCGAUAACUGGGGU